UACGUAGGGGGCUAGCGUUGUCCGGAAUCAUUGGGCGUAAAGCGCGCGUAGGCGGCCCGGUAAGUCCGUUGUGAAAGUCAAAGGCUCAACCUUUGAAUGCCGAUGGAUACUGCCGGGCUAGAAUCCGGAAGAGGCGAGUGGAAUUCCUGGUGUAGCGGUGGAAUGCGCAGAUAUCAGGAGGAACACCAAUAGCGAAGGCAGCUCGCUGGGACGGUAUUGACGCUAAGGCGCGAAAGCGUGGGGAGCAAACAGG
rnacentral:rRNA from 1 species